CCUACGGGUGGCUGCAGUAAGGAAUAUUGGUCAAUGGACGGAAGUCUGAACCAGCCAUGCCGCGUGCAGGAAGACGGCCCUAUGGGUUGUAAACUGCUUUUGCAGGGGAAUAAACCUCUUUACGUGUAAAGAGCUGAAUGUACUCUGAGAAUAAGGAUCGGCUAACUCCGUGCCAGCAGCCGCGGUAAUACGGAGGAUCCAAGCGUUAUCCGGAUUUAUUGGGUUUAAAGGGUGCGUAGGUGGCCUGUUAAGUCAGGGGUGAAAGACGGUAGCUCAACUAUCGCAGUGCCCUUGAUACUGAUGGGCUUGAAUGAACUAGAGGUAGGCGGAAUGUGACAAGUAGCGGUGAAAUGCAUAGAUAUGUCACAGAACACCAAUUGCGAAGGCAGCUUACUAUGGUUUUAUUGACACUGAGGCACGAAAGCGUGGGGAUCAAACAGGAUUAGAUACCCCGGUAGUCC
rnacentral:rRNA from 1 species